rnacentral:lncRNA from 1 species
UAACAUCUUCCAGACCCUACUGGUUAUUGAGAGUCAUGGACAUCAUUUUCUGAAAAAGCACCUGGCUGCUGCUAUGAGUGCUACAGGGCAAACAUUUUAAUGGGAUCUACCACUCAUCUGGAAGUGUAAAAACUGCCCAUAGCCCCAGACUUCAGAUGUCAACUUUGAGGGAAGUAUGUUUUUUCUGGAUAUGGGUUAAGAAGAAAGAGAUUCAUUACCCUGGAAGAGUAAAAAGAAAUCCCAUGAAAGUUUAUGAGGUGUUCUGGAACUGUGGGAAUAGGGAACCAGGCAUGAUUUAUUAUUGCUGAUGGACAUACUGAAAGCUCAUAGAAAAGAUGCAGCCUUGCUGGUCAGAAUUAAAUUACACCCAAUGCCGUGAGACGCUUCAUUAGCACAUAGAGAGUAACACAGA